GUAAGAGAAAGGGAGGGGGGGGGGGAUAAGCCCAAUUUCAUUUAAACAGCUCACCCCCUAGCACUUAUUCAAUACUACACGCACUACAUAGACACUACUACAUACACUACACAGACACUACUACAUACACAUACACUACAUAAACAUUGCAUUCACUAGACACUGCAUACACCACACAAGCACUAGUAGAUACACUACAAACACACAAUAUAUUUAAUAUACACACUGCAUAC